AGUGAGCGCUGGCGGUAGGCCUAACACAUGCAAGUCGAACGGCAGCACAGUAAGAGCUUGCUCUUACGGGUGGCGAGUGGCGGACGGGUGGGGAAUACAUCGGAAUCUACUUUUUCGUGGGGGAUAACGUAGGGAAACUUACGCUAAUACCGCAUACGACCUACGGGUGAAAGCAGGGGAUCUUCGGACCUUGCGCGAUUGAAUGAGCCGAUGUCGGAUUAGCUAGUUGGCGGGGUAAAGGCCCACCAAGGCGACGAUCCGUAGCUGGUCUGAGAGGAUGAUCAGCCACACUGGAACUGAGACACGGUCCAGACUCCUACGGGAGGCAGCAGUGGGGAAUAUUGGACAAUGGGCGCAAGCCUGAUCCAGCCAUACCGUGUGGGUGAAGAAGGCCUUCGGGUUGUAAAGCCCUUUUGUUGGGAAAGAAAAGCAGCAGGUUAAUACCCCGCUGUUCUGACGGUACCCAAAGAAUAAGCACCGGCUAACUUCGUG
rnacentral:rRNA from 1 species